rnacentral:rRNA from 1 species
AUGGACAAGACGAUGGCCAUGGUGAACUAUGAUGCACCUCCCACAUGGUUCCAUCAUGAUGAUGACGUUGACCACCAUUUGGUCUUUGCCACCUCACCUACACCACAUGAGUGGAAUAACAUCGGUAACAUAGGUGACGGUGAUGCUCUUGUCCCACUAGUGGACAUUCUAGACGUUGAUUGCUUGCAUGAUGUUGACCCACCUAUUACCAUGCUUCAUGCUAGUAUGAUUUCCCAAUGCGAUGAUUUACCCAUUUAUGAUGAGUUUGAUGAUUGCCAUGAGGAGCCUAUUGGUUGUGAUGCCAUGUUACAUAGGAUUUCUUGUGAUAAUUCUCUUGGUCACAUCAUGUUUGACAAUCCGCUUGACUUGUCAUAUGCUAUGCAUGAGAUCAACAAUAUGUCAUAUUUGCAAUCUCUUCAUAGUGACUAUGCAUACGCCAUCAACAUAAACCCAAUUUGCACAUAUGGCAUAGAUGAAAAGCCCAUGGUUAUUGGCAUUUGUUUUUCUUGUGUUGAUAUUGAUAUGCUCCCUUUGCAUCAUUUAACUACUAUGCCAUGCCAUGAUCACAUUGUUCCAACUAUGCAUUGUUUCGGAUGUUAUCCAUUUUCUCCAUAUGAUGUUUCCGCUAUUGCUCAUGAGGAGACCCCCAUAGUUUCCUCAUACAUUUUAGGAGAUUUUGAUCAAUCCUAUCCUUUGCAUGAUCCCAAUACUUGUGCACAAUAUGCUUCCCAUGAAUAA